rnacentral:rRNA from 1 species
GAUGAACGCUAGCGGGAGGCUUAACACAUGCAAGUCGAGGGGCAGCAUAGGGUAGCAAUACUCUGAUGGCGACCGGCAAACGGGUGAGUAACGCGUAUGCAACCUACCCUGGUACAGGGGGAUAACCCGGAGAAAUUCGGACUAAUAUCCCGUAAUAAUAUCCGGAGGCAUCUUUGGAUAUUUAAAGUUUCGACGGUACGGGAUGGGCAUGCGUAACAUUAGCUGGUUGGUAAGGUAACGGCUUACCAAGGCGACGACGGGUAGCCGGCCUGAGAGGGUGUCCGGCCACACUGGAACUGAGACACGGUCCAGACUCCUACGGGAGGCAGCAGUGGGGAAUUUUGGGCAAUGGGGGAGACCCUGACCCAGCGACGCCGCGUGAGGGACGAAGGCCCUUGGGUCGUAAACCUCUUUUGCAGGGGAAGAGGAAGGACGGUACUCUCAGAAUAAGUCUCGGCUAACUACGUGCCAGCAGCCGCGGUAAUCACGAGA